UGAGGAAUAUUGGUCAAUGGGCGAGAGCCUGAACCAGCCACGUCGCGUGAAGGAAGACUGACUUUACGGUUUGUAAACUUCUUUUGUAGAGGGGUAAUGGCAGAUACGUGUAUUUGCGUGAAAGUACUCUACGAAUAAGCAUCGGCUAACUCCGUGCCAGCAGCCGCGGUAAUACGGGGGAUGCGAGCGUUAUCCGGAAUUAUUGGGUUUAAAGGGUGCGCAGGUGGCUAAUCAGGUCAGUGGUGAAAAGCUAUGGCUCAACCAUGGUCUUGCCAUUGAAACCGUAUAGCUAGAGAGGAGACGAGGUAGGCGGAAUGUGUGGUGUAGCGGUGAAAUGCAUAGAUAUCACACAGAACUCCGAUUGCGAAGGCAGCUUACCAGGAUUUAUCUGACACUUAGGCACGACAGCGUGGGGAUCAAACAGG
rnacentral:rRNA from 1 species